GCCUGUGUGACACAUGGAUC
rnacentral:snRNA from 1 species